AAGGAAGUGACAGAGCGGCUAUGUGUUCUGGCUUGAAACCAGUUUAUGGGGGUUCAAGUCCUCCCUUUCUCG
rnacentral:tRNA from 2 species